rnacentral:rRNA from 1 species
AUGUCCGAGUCUUCGAUAAGGUGUGUCAUCGUCGACAACAUGGAGAUGAGUCACCGGCGAGUUGUGUCACCGGUGGCAAGCAUGGAGGCGAGUUGCCGGCGAGUUGCGGCACCGGUGGCAAACAUGCGGCAGCGAGCGUGCCACGGAGGUGCGCUCGUGGUGAAGGCGCACGAGGUGCGGCUCUCGCUGAAGCUAGCGGCGACUGCGGCAAUCAGUGUGACAAGAUGGCAUUGGCGGACAUCUCGGUGUUGCACCGACGACAUCAACGACCACGUGCUUCAAGAGAGAAAUAAGCUAACAAGAUUAGGGAGGUGA